rnacentral:tRNA from 1 species
GUGGCCUUGGUCAAGUUUGAAUGGUGCUUGGCUAGAACCGAAAGCACGUGGGUUCGAUUCCCAUAGAGUACC